rnacentral:rRNA from 1 species
GUGGGGAAUAUUGCACAAUAAGCGCAAGCCUGAUGCAGCCAUGCCGCGUGUGUGAAGAAGGCCUUCGGGUUGUAAAGCACUUUCAGCGAGGAGGAAGGCGGUAAGGUUAAUAACCUUACCGAUUGACGUUACUCGCAGAAGAAGCACCGGCUAACUCCGUGCCAGCAGCCGCGGUAAUACGGAGGGUGCAAGCGUUAAUCGGAAUGACUGGGCGUAAAGCGCACGCAGGCGGUUUGUUAAGUUGGAUGUGAAAUCCCCGGGCUUAACCUGGGAACUGCAUUCAAAACUGGCAAACUAGAGUCUCGUAGAGGGGGGUAGAAUUCCAGGUGUAGCGGUGAAAUGCGUAGAGAUCUGGAGGAAUACCGGUGGCGAAGGCGGCUCCCUGGACGAAGACUGACGCUCAGGUGCGAAAGCGUGGGGAGCAA